rnacentral:rRNA from 1 species
CUACGGGGCGCAGCAGUGGGGAAUAUUGCACAAUGGAGGAAACUCUGAUGCAGCCAUGCCGCGUGUGUGAAGAAGGCCCGAGGGUUGUAAAGCACUUUCAAUUGGGAGGGAGGUUAGUCAGUUAAUACCUUGCUAGCUUGACGUUACCUUUAGAAGAAGCACCAGCUAACUCUGUGCCAGCAGCCGCGGUAAUACAGAGGGUGCAAGCGUUAUUCGGAAUUACUGGGCGUAAAGCGCGCGUAGGCGGCUAGAUCAGUCGGGUGUGAAAGCCCCGGGCUUAACCUGGGAACUGCAUCCGAUACUGUCUAGCUUGAGUACAGGAGAGGAGAGUGGAAUUCCACAUGUAGCGGUGAAAUGCGUAGAUAUGUGGAGGAACACCAAUGGCGAAGGCAGCUCUCUGGCCUGAUACUGACGCUGAGGUGCGAAAGCGUGGGGAGCAAACAGGAUUAGAUACCCCAGUAGUC